GCUGGGCAUGGUGGCACAUGCCUGUAAUCCCAGUGACUUGGGAGGCUGAGGCAGGAGAAUCACAAAUUCCAAGCCAGGGACUGGGGAUGUGCCUCAGU
rnacentral:sRNA from 1 species